AUGAACGCUAGCGACAGGCCUAACACAUGCAAGGUCGAGGGGCAGCACAAGGAGCAAUCUGUGGUGGCGACCGGCGCACGGGUGAGUAACACGUAUGCAACCUGCCUGUAAGCGGGGAAUAACCCGUUGAAAGACGGACUAAUACCGCAUAAUACUAAAUUACUGCAUGGUAAUUUAUUUAAACAUUUAUGGCUUACAGAUGGGCAUGCGCAUGAUUAGCUAGUUGGAGAGGUAACGGCUCCCCAAGGCAACGAUCAUUAGGGGUUCUGAGAGGAAGGUCCCCCACACUGGUACUGAGACACGGACCAGACUCCUACGGGAGGCAGCAGUGAGGAAUAUUGGUCAAUGGACGAGAGUCUGAACCAGCCAAGUCGCGUGCAGGAAGAAUGUCCCUAUGGAUUGUAAACUGCUUUUGCAGGGGAAUAAAGUGCAUCACGUGUGAUGUUUUGUAUGUACUCUGCGAAUAAGGAUCGGCUAACCCCGUGCCAGCAGCGGC
rnacentral:rRNA from 1 species